rnacentral:misc_RNA from 1 species
UUUCCGUAGGUGAACCUGCGGAAGGAUCAUUAUUGUAUAACCGAGGUGCGAGGGCUGUCGCUGACCCGAAAGGUCGUGCACGCCCGAGUGCCCUUACACACAUCCAUCUCACCCCUAUGUGCACCACCGCGUGGGUCCCCCUUUGGCUUGUUCGGAGGGGGGCUUACGUUUUCACACAAAAUUUGUAUGCAGUGUAGAAUGUAUUUUUGUUUUUGCGAUCACGCAAUCAAUACAACUUUCAACAACGGAUCUCUUGGCUCUC